rnacentral:lncRNA from 1 species
GUCCGGUCCGUAAUGCGCAUGCGUCACUGGUCAUAGAUUUUAUCUAUGAAUUCGAUAUAUAGAAGUCAACGGGAAAUAUAUUUCAUUUGACGAUUUAAACAUUUUCUUAUAAAAAAUCGUUUCACCUUUGUUUGCAUUAUGUUCUUCAAUAUUUUAGCAAACAGGUAAUAUUUUUAUUUAUUUUUUCGGAUUUUUCUUUCUUGAUACCAAUUUAACUUUAGUAACAGUCAUUGUUACAAAU